CUUGAGUUCGUAGUUGUGAUACUACCGGCUUGAGAAGCUUGGUGAAGCACCACGGUGCAGAGCUGAGGCCGAAGGGGAGGCAUGUGAACUGCCAGGGUUGGUCUUGCCAUAGGAAUCUGAGAAAUUGGCGCAAGACGCAUGGACGGGGACCGACAGGUAAGCGUCUUUGAGGUCCAGUCUCGUAAACCAGUCCCUGUUUUGGAGUAGAUCGCUCAGCAGGUGAAUGCCUUCCAUCUUGAAGUGCCUGUACGUUACAAAAGCGUUGAGUCCCUUCAAGUUUAUAACCGGACGGAAUUCUCCUGAUUUCUUUUUU